CCAAUAGCGUAUAUUAAAGUUGUUGCAGUUAAAAAGCUCGUAGUUGAAUUUCGGGGUUAGUAGGUUGGUCAUGCCUCUGGUAUGUACUGGUCUCACUGAUUCCUCCUUCCUUAUGAACCGUAAUGCCAUUAAUUUGGUGUUGCGGGAAAUUUGGACUGUUACUUUGAAAAAAUUAGAGUGUUUAAAGCAAGCUAACGCUUGAAUACAUUAGCAUGGAAUAAUGAAAUAGGACGUUCGAUCUUAUUUUGUUGGUUUCUAGGAUUGACGUAAUGAUUAAUAGGGAAAGUUGGGGGCAUUAGUAUUCAAUUGUCAGAGGUGAAAUUCUUGGAUUUAUUGAAGACUAACUACUGCGAAAGCAUUUGCCAAGGAUGUUUUCAUUAAUCAAGAACGAAAGUUAGGGGAUCGAAGACGAUCAGAUACCGUCGUAGUCUUAACCACAAACUAUGCCGACUAGGGAUCGGAUGAUGUUAAUUUUUUAAUGACUCAUUCGGCGCCUUACG
rnacentral:misc_RNA from 1 species